UACAGAGGGGCAAGCGUUGUUCGGAAUUACUGGGCGUAAAGCGUGCGCAGGCGGUUGUGCAAGACAGAUGUGAAAUCCCCGGGCUCAACCUGGGAAUUGCAUUUGUGACUGCACGGCUAGAGUGUGUCAGGAGGGGGUAGAAGUUCCACGUGUGAGCAGUGAAAUGCGUAGAGAUGUGGAGGAAUACCGAUGGCGAAGGCAGCCCCCUGGGAUAACACUGACGCUCUGCACGAAAGCGUGGGAGCAAACAGG
rnacentral:rRNA from 1 species